CCCGAUUCUUUAAAGAAAGCCGCUUUGUUUGAUUCCUGUAAAGCGCCGUAGAGAUGCAGCGAGCACUAUGAAUAAGGAGCUAGUGCUUAAGGAUGUGAACAUUUUUAUUAAGAGAGUCACAAAAUCAAAUCCCACAUAUCAUAUUACCAGGCACUGCAGCAGAAAAAAAUCCCUACAUCUUGUAAAGAGAGGAAAACUGCCUAUGAUUGUAAAUGAAGAGAGCUUCACUUCCAAAUUCUUCAAACUGGGAUCGUAACAAGGAAGAGAAGAUUACUCACAUUUUCCCUGGGACAAUACUGACGGGCAUAUAACUCUUGCCCGUAAAGGCAUAUAAGGACACCUUGGCCAAGGAAGAGGGACGUCCACAUGAUGAUGUUAAAAAUGGGGUUUUUCCGCCGGUCAUGGAGAAUGAAGUUGAAAACCACUGAAGGAAGGAAAUAACCAUUUAGACUGUAAACUCUACGCCCCCCCCUCUAGACCCAAAUGCAUCAGAACAUUGUUGCAAUGAUAAAACAUGUUUAAUAAAUUACAAGGCUAGUCUCUCAAAUUGAAAAUUAACAA